CCUCCACUUCGCAUCGAAGAAGGCGCUGCAGAACGGUCAGAACAGUGAAAGUGGCAGCCAGUCCUUUCGCGGACCACGCGAUUCGUCAAGUAGGCCCGUGCCGGCACAGGAAUAAGUGAAAGGGGUGCUUCUCUAUCGCUCUAAGCGUAUUUUCGGGCACUAAUAACUGAUUGCGCUUGUUCUGAGUUAAAGCACUCAAAACGUUUUGGUGUUAAGAGCGCUUAAACGUGCAUGUGUGUGAUUUUUGAAUAUUUGGUGGAUACUAUUUUGUGCAAGGUGAUUCACGGAGCUUUGACAGUAAGAGUGGCAUGUUUUAUCAAGCACACAUUUUGGAUAUUAUAUCGGAAAA
rnacentral:lncRNA from 1 species